rnacentral:ncRNA from 1 species
UUUUAUUUUAUUAUAGUAUAGGUUUAAUUUAUAAAUUUUAAUUUAUAUAAAAAAAUUAUUUAAAAAUUUAUUUAGAUUUUGUAAUAUUUAUAAUUAAUUAAUAAUAUAAUUUUUGAAUUAAAAAUUUUAAUAAGCUUUAACUAAUUUAUGUGCCAGCAGUUGCGGUUAAACAAUUGAAGUAAGUUAAAUUUUAAAAUAUUUAUUGUAAAAUUUAAUUUAAAUUUAUUUAAAUUUAAAAUUUUUGGUGAAAUAAAAUUUUUAAUAAAUUAUUAUAAUUAUAUGAUAUUUUUAUAUAAUAAUAAACUAGGAUUAGAUACCCUAUUAUUUAUAUUUAAAAUAAUAUUAUUGAUUAUUAAAUGUAAAAUCAUUAAAUUUAAUUGAUAUGGGGGGGAUUUAAAUAUUUAGGGGAACUUGAAUUUUAAUUUGAUAAUCCACGAUUAUAAUUACUUAUAUUAUUGUUUUGUAUGUUUGUUUUAAAAAAUUUAAUUUAAUAAAAUUAUUUUAAAUUUUUAUUAAUAUUUUUAUUUAAAAAAUUAUUCAAAUCAAUAUUUACUUGUAUAUAAGAAUUUUUUGAGUUACAAUAAAUUUAAUUUUUGGAUAAAAGUUUUUAAUAAUUUUUAAAAAUUGGAUUUAAAAGUAAUUUUUAAAUAAAUUAUAAUUGAAUAAAUUUUAAAUUGUCUACAAACUGCCCGUCACUCUUUUUUAAAAAAAGAUAAGUCGUAACAAGGUAAAUGUAUUGGAAAAUAUAUUUAGAGGUAU